GAGAAAAAAGUGGGCUUCGGGAUGCUGGGGAAUCUGGGCUCUGGCUAAGUUUGCCUCCGUGAGAGAUGCAGCUGCAGACGUUGUAGGGAGGUAAGACCUCUUAAGAAUCAGGAAGAGAUUUAGCAGUGUCCUCUGUCAAAACGCGGCCCCACUCCAAAUAAAGCAUCUUCUCUUUUAGAGCAGAAACUUCGCAAAUUGAGGAAAGGAAACUGCAGCAGCACUGUGUGUGGGCAAGACCUCCAGUCACACUUGUGCACGUGUGCAGAGGGAUACGCCCUAAGUCGAGACCGGAAGUACUGUGAAGAUGUUAAUGAAUGCGCUUUUUGGAAUCAUGGCUGUACUCUUGGGUGUAAAAACACCCCUGGAUCCUAUUACUGCACAUGCCCUGUAGGAUUUGUUCUGCUUCCUGAUGGGAAACGAUGUCAUCAACUUGUUUCCUGUCCAAGCAAUGUGUCUGAAUGCAGCCAUGACUGUGUUCUGACAUCAGAAGGUCCCUUAUGUUUCUGUCCUGAAGGCUCGGUGCUUGAGAGAGAUGGGAAAACAUGUAGCGGUUGUUCCUCACCUGAUAAUGGUGGAUGUAGCCA
rnacentral:sRNA from 1 species